UGCGUAGGUGGUGAGGUAAGUCGGAUGUGAAAGCUCGGAGCUCAACUCCGAAAUGGCAUUGGAAACUACCUUGCUAGAGGAUCGGAGGGGGGACUGGAAUACUUGGUGUAGCAGUGAAAUGCGUAGAUAUCAAGUGGAACACCAGUGGCGAAGGCGAGUCCCUGGACGAUACCUGACACUGAGGCACGAAAGCUAGGGGAGCAAACA
rnacentral:rRNA from 1 species